GAUGAACGCUAGCGGGAGGCCUAACACAUGCAAGCCGAGCGGUAUUGUUUCUUCGGAAAUGAGAGAGCGGCGUACGGUGCGGAACACGUGUGCAACCUGCCUUUAUCUGGGGGAUAGCCUUUCGAAGGAAGAUUAAUACUCCAUAAUAUAUUGAACGGCAUCGUUUAAUAUUGAAGACUCCGGCGGAUAGAGAUGGGCACGCGCAAGAUUAGCUAGUUGGUGAGGUAACGGCUCACCAAGGCAAUAGAUCUUUAGGGGGCCGUGAGAGGGUGAUCCCCCACACUGGUACUGAGACACGGACCAGACUCCUACGGGAGGGCAGCAGUGAGGAAUAUUGGUCAAU
rnacentral:rRNA from 1 species